rnacentral:rRNA from 1 species
AUUGAACGCUGGCGGCAUACUUUACACAUGCAAGUCGAACGGUAACAGGGUGCUUGCACCGCUGACGAGUGGCGAACGGGUGAGUAAUGCGUCGGAACGUGCCGAGUAGUGGGGGAUAACGCAGCGAAAGUUGUGCUAAUACCGCAUACGUACUGAGGUAGAAAGUGGGGGACCUUCGGGCCUCACGCUAUUCGAGCGGCCGACGUCUGAUUAGCUAGUAGGUGAGGUAAAGGCUCACCUAGGCGACGAUCAGUAGCGGGUCUGAGAGGAUGAUCCGACACACUGGGACUGAGACACGGCCCAGGCUCCUACGGGAGGAAGCAGUGGGGAAUUUUGGACAAUGGGCGAAAGCCUGAUCCAGCCAUGCCGCGUGUCUGAAGAAGGCCUUCGGGUUGUAAAGGACUUUUGUCGGGGAGGAAAUCCCCAGCGUUAAUACCGCUGGGGGAUGACAGUACCUGAAGAAUAAGCACCGGCUAACUACGUGCCAGCCGCCGCGGUAAAAC